CUUUGAUGGAUCACAGUUCUUCACAACAUCCAUCUCUCCUUCAUGGUAGGCACAGACCAGGGUCAGGCCCAGACACAGGAGCAGUAGCUUCAUUUUUGUAGUGGGUUAUACUGUCUCCCUCACGAACACAGAUCGAAAGAGCA